rnacentral:lncRNA from 11 species
UCAGUCUCACGCUCAGCCCAGCUAUUCCUGCCCCAGGUGCCCUUCCUUAUGGCGACGGGCAAGCAGGCUUGAUCUUAAUUUAAACACUAACAAUGGCCUCUUUGACUUCUACUGAAAAUUAAACUGACUCUGGGAGGCUUCCAAAUGUUACAGAAUCUUAAUGAAAAUUAUUGUAGUCAUUACAGGAUCCUAGGCAUCAAAAUGUGUAUUAUGCUACCUGUCUAUGACCUCCUUCCACCCACCCGACAAC